rnacentral:lncRNA from 1 species
CUCAUUCCUUAGGUCUUGGUCUCAUGUAGGAAAUGAGAAGCAUGAGGAGCCUUGGGACCUAAGAACUCUGACAUCCUAGAAUUCUUUCACGUGGCUAUAAGAAGACAGGACCCAUGGCAAGGUGCCCUGCCUAGCCGGAAGGGACUAGAUCUCAGGAAGCGACUCCAGGACACAAGUUAUCUCAGGCACUGGUCCGGAUCUUUACAUAGGGUGCACCAGUGGACGGAACCACAAAGCUUAACACAACGAAUGUCACACACCUACCCGGAAAAGUAGACAGGAUAGAGCGAAUGCAGGCAAGGUAAGUUACAUCUGGGCCCGCCAGGGAAGGAGCUGUCUUUUUAUGCGACCCACAG